UACGGAGGGUGCAAACGUUGCUCGGAAUCACUGGGCGUAAAGCGCACGUAGGCGGCCCGCAAAGUCGGAUGUGAAAGCCCUGGGCUCAACCUAGGAAGUGCAUUCGAAACUGCCGGGCUUGAGUACGGGAGAGGGUUGCGGAAUUCCUGGUGUAGCGGUGGAAUGCGCAGAUAUCAGGAGGAACACCAAUAGCGAAGGCAGCUCGCUGGGACGGUACUGACGCUGAGGCGCGAAAGCGUGGGGAGCAAACAGG
rnacentral:rRNA from 1 species